rnacentral:lncRNA from 1 species
CUCAUCUCAAGGUGCUUAAGAUAAUCACAUCUACACGAUCUCCUUUUCCAUGUCAGCAUAAAUUCAUCAAUUCUUUGCACUACUGAUUAGAAGAUGCAGAGUGAAGAUUCAAGAGCAUGCUAAUUUGAGUCCUUCGUGAUGCCCAGAAACAUCUAGUGACAUUAAUUAUCUAAUAGAAAAAUUACUUAUAUCAUGUUAAGAUGAUUUUGGGAAUGAUGCUUCUGCACCCCACAGGAUUUUGCAGUAGUUAGCUUACGUGGCCUUGACCUACGGUUUUCUGCCUAGUAGCGAUAAUCAACAAAGGUAUGUUCUGUAAUACUUUCUUUUUAUGUAAACUCUUUCCCCAAAUUGUCAAUUUCCCAAACUGUGGCCUCAUUCUUGUAAGCCCUACUAUGAACAAGGAGCAUGGUUCCUUCACAGAAAAGUUUCCACUCACUCCUGAAAAGUGGAACAUGAAAGGUAUUUGGUAAGAUAUUUUGGAUAUGAUGUCAAAAGUAUACCUACCAUUAGACUAGCCUAGCUAAAGGAAUAUGUUGACUAAAUCACUGAGAUAUUCUCCAAGGAACUGGAGCUUAUAAAUAUCUAGUCAUUGCCUCAUUUUACCCUAAAACAAUGUAUAUUUUGCUGUAAAAUAAAAAAGGAAAUAUAAAG